AUCAUACCCUUUACAGAAGAAUAGAGAGGCUGUUGCAGCCCCGUGCUUUCUCCUGCUGCUGGCUGAUUGCUUGCUCUGAACUAACCCUCUAACCCUUGGGAGUCUGUGUGCAGCAGUGAUGUGAGCUGCAUCCGGGCUGAAAUGGGAGCUCCCGCUAUGGCACUGGCUCAAGGAGCUAAUCUAAAGAGAAAGUAUUUUGGGGAAGACAUCUUGGUUGCACCCCUCAUUGCAUCUUGACUAAUUGCUUCCAACUCCGGGGGCUUCCAGGGACAAUCUCAUUGUUCUUUUCUCUCCAAGGGUCAGCCAUGUUAACCAUUUGUUAAUUUCUUCUGAACAGAUCAAGCAAAAGUAGAUAAUCAGCCAGAAGAAUUAGUGCGUAGUGCUGAAGAUGCAGUGAAGGUGCUGAGCUUUGGCACAUGACUUGACAAAUUCUUAAGAACUGCCCAGGAAAGAAGACAGUCCAAGCUUCAGCUCUUGUGAUUUCCACAGUGCCUACACAACCUGAUAAUCCAUUUUCUCACUCUGACAAACUCAAAAGGAUGAGCAAGUCUG
rnacentral:sRNA from 1 species